CCAAUUUGCCUCAUUGUCUCAUUUAAAAAUGACAUCAUUUUACAGAGAAGAUUAGCAUGGCCCCUGCACAAGGAUGACACGCAAAUUCGUGAAGCAUUUCAUAUUUAA